AAUGGUAGUCCUAUAUUUCAUUCCUUAUCACUAUAAUGAGUCCAAAAAUACCACUCUUUUUUUAGCAUACAGCUCCAAAACAUAGCGGAAAGUUUCGAUGCGUUAAUGUUUUUGAAGGAGGUGAACGCUAACAACUUUGACGCGCUCAUCAUGUUCGCGUUUCACGAAGGUACUAAAUAUCUUAUCUGGCCAGUUCAAAUGUCUUUAGAAAGAGGAGAACCUAA